UACGUAUGGGGCAAGCGUUAUCCGGAAUUAUUGGGCGUAAAGAGUGCGUAGGUGGUUACCUAAGCGCAAGGUUUAAUCUUGAGGCUCAACCUCAUUCUGCCUUGCGAACUGGGCUACUUGAGUGCUGGAGGGGAAAGCGGAAUUCCCAGUGUAGCGGUGAAAUGCGUAGAUAUUGGGAAGAACACCGGUGGCGAAGGCGGCUUUCUGGACAGUAACUGACACUGAGGCACGAAAGCGUGGGGAGCAAACAGGAUUAGAUACCCCGGUAGUCCCUGA
rnacentral:rRNA from 1 species